rnacentral:tRNA from 1 species
GGCCCGGUAGCUCAGCUGGAUAGAGCAACAGCCUUCUAAGCUGUGGGUCGGGGGUUCGAAUCCCCCCCGGGUCACCA